AUUGAACGCUGGCGGCAUGCCUUACACAUGCACGUCGAACGGUAACAGAUCUUCGGAUGCUGACGAGUGGCGAACGGGGGAGUAAUGCAUCGGAACGUGCCCAGCUGUGGGGGAUAACUGCUCGAAAGAGCAGCUAAUACCGCAUACGACCUGAGGGUGAAAGCGGGGGAUCGCAAGACCUCGCGCAAUUGGAUCGGCCGAUGUCAGAUUAGGUAGUUGGUGGGGUAACGGCCUACCAAGCCGACGAUCUGUGGCUGGUCUGAGAGGACGACCAGCCACACUGGGACUGGGACAUGGCCCAGACUCCUACGGGAGGCAGCAGUGGGGAAUUUUGGACAAUGGGCGCAAGCCUGAUCCAGCAAUGCCGCGUGCAGGAAGAAGGCCUUCGGGUUGUAAACUGCUUUUGUCAGGGAAGAAAUCCUCUGGGUUAAUACCCCGGGGGGAUGACGGUACCUGAAGAAUAAGCACCGGCUAACUACGUGCCAGCCGCCGCAGUAAAAC
rnacentral:rRNA from 1 species